rnacentral:rRNA from 1 species
AUGGAUACCGGUCACAUGGAUCGUGGAUGCUGCAUCGCAGCGAGCAAUCCUGCCGCCUGGAGCUGGACGAUGGAGCGCUGGAAAGUUGUGGGUGCGGCUGCUUGGGCUUGGCCGGCGCCCAUGGGGCUCGGUCGACCGUUCGAUGGCCGCAGGUUCGUCUGGAAUGUUUGCCUCGAGAGAUAUGAUGAAGCGGUUGAACGAACGACUGAGAGAAGGAACCUGGGUCUCAGUAGCUCCUGUGGCGACAUUGCACGCUUCGGCUUGGUUCUUCAGGGUGUUUUAUCUCGGCCCCGCCGCGUUCAGCUUGUGUCGGCCAAACUAGUGUUUUGGCCAAUCGAUCAAGUGCAUUUGCCUCACGAGGUGACCUUGGCGACACCUUAUCUUAUUCUAGGAUUCUGGUGGAUUUUGGCCCAGUGGAAUGCCUGA